rnacentral:misc_RNA from 1 species
CCGAGAACGGAAAGAAAACGACUGGUCACUUGUGCUGGCCUUCUACGAUGGAAGAGUGGCUGCGGAUGACCCACCCCUCUGCUUUCUUGUCGUCCAGUGUAUCUUAUUCUCUUUUAUUAUGUUUUAUGGCGCGCUCCUCUCCCAUGAGAAGACACCUCGGUGCAUGGUAUCAGGGCCCAGCACCCACUCUCUGGGGAAGAAAAGAGCCUGCGGCGUGCCCUCGGGUACGUUUGCAGACGCUUGGUGUCGGCGGGCAGGUUUGAAAUGGCACUGCCACCGGUGCGCCGCGCGAGAUCCGCGGAUCGCCCGACGCUCGAGGCAGACCGCGUUUCACGCAAUGGUGUUGCGCGCAGGGAUGCCAUUGCACGCACCUCACUCGCGCUGCACGGGCCUCCGCCGUCGUGUGUAUAUCGCUGCUCCCCACAUCCUCCGUCCCCUGACCUGGGAACGGCGGGCUGUGAGCGCUCUGUGUGCGCGGGCGCAUGCGUAUCGGCGGGGCUCUUGGGGUGGCCCCUUCCGCUUGACGCAGCCACGCCUGUGAAAGAGGUGCGGGUCGAGGACCAGGUGGGGUGCCCUUUGCUGCCCCCGACUCACAGCAGCGUGCCACCCUGCCGCGGCACAUGCGGGCAUGCGGUCCAGGCACGCGCCCACCCCCGCUGCAUCGGCGGAAAGGGACGAUGUGGACAGCGCGCUCCCACGGGCAACGACGCCGCGCUGAAGCAGGCCCCUCCCCCUUCCAAGGUAUGCACAAGUGCGAGCGCUGUGCGCAGGCGCUGUCGGUGGGCAGCUGGCACGGUGUGCCGCACUCCGAGCAAGGUGUGCGGGAGGUGGGCAGGGCUCAGCCCCCGGCUGCGUGUGAGCGGAAUAUGCGGCAUCUUCUGCGUCCGACCGGGGUAGGCUGAUGCUGCACAGGUGCCGGAAGCGUGGGGGAGGACAGCACCGGUCUGCACCAUCGAGUCCUCCAGACUCCCGUGUGGAGGGACGCCGCGCCGCGCUGCGGCAUGCCGCGGCCUGAAGCGGGUGAGGGCGAAGCAUGGCAUGCAGGGAGAGUGCGCAGGGUCUCGGAGGGCCCUGGGCUGAGUCUGGGCAGCGUCCUCCUUGAGCCCACCCGGCACGCACAUAGAAGAACAUCCCCUGCUGCCCGCACGGCAGACGCCGCCGCUUCCUGCCCUCGAGCCGGAGCGUGGGCGCGGCCCGCGUGGAUGACGCCGUGCCGUCCACACCCGGGCCCGCGUGGCGCCGAUGACACGGCACGCAUGCGAGGAAGGGGCGAGGAAGGAGAGGGAGAGGUCAUUAGGCACGCGCCCCGAUGCAACGGCAGGGCGGCUCGCCCUUGACGACGAGGGCGUAGCCGUGGCGCGGUAGCGCUGGAGGAACUGUUGUUGUACUUCGGUACGGGCUUGGCUUUUGGAGGGAGAUGAAGCGCGUUGAAAGAAAUGUAGCGUUGUUUCUGAAGUGCUGCAGCGCGACUGCGUUUUGCAGCAACCGAAUCAUUUCCUCCCUCUUCUUCCGCACUGCUCUUCGUUUCCUCUCGCUCUCUCUCGAUCGAUUUUCUGCUUGCAUUGCGUUUCCAGUUUUUUUUUUGCAAUUAUAUUUCACCGAUUGUGUCGCGGAAACGUGCGACGACUCAGAGAGCUCUUCCGGUUUCCGUGCUUGCUUACUUGCGGCUGGGCUCGCUCUUCUCUCUUGCGACACAUCUAGUUGUUUUUGCUGAAUCAUGUUGUCGAAACUCAUCCGUUAGGCAGGAAGGGAGCGGAAAAGUUGGAUGCUUCGCGCCCCUAUAUAUUUGCGAGACGAAAGGGUAUUGCGUGUGCGUGCCCCGUAACCCCCCCUGCAACAAAAAACGUCGACUCCGGGGCGUUGGUGUGUCGUGCAAGCCAGACGUGAGCACGAGCAUGCGUGAGGCGGAUGUGCAUGCCGACGGAUGCGCUCUUCUUUUUCUUGAAGAAGAACGAAUCUAUGUAUGUAUACAUGUAUUCUUGUUUUUAUAUAUACGAUGGACUGCUGUUUAUCACUUGUGCUAUGUGGUAUGUGUGUGUUUCCUCGCAUUUUCUCUCGUGGCGGCUUUGGGUGACGCCUCAUCCCCCUUUUCGUCUGUUGUUCAUGUUGCGCCGUUUCCUCCUCCGUCCGCAUACAUGCGCACACCUGCGGCGACGGAGGCACAACUUGGGAUGCCUUGUCGUUUGUUUUUUCCCGGAUAUUACACAAGGCGUUCACGCGGAGGAGGGGAUGCUCUUUAGCAAUCGACACGUGCGAUAUAAGGUGCUGCUCCCUCAGUCUUAGAGGGCGGCAAAAAAAAAAGAAGACGCUGGCAAUGAAGCAACACGCGGCGAGGCAACUCUGCUCGUCAGGCAUUCCCUUCAGAUUGCUCGACUGUACUUUUUCUGAGCAGUAUGGUUAGGGAGAGUAGGGCCAGAGAGCGCGCACGAUGAUGAUCGUCACGUGCUCCGGUAUCGCACAAUGCUGGAUCGCAAGCGCAUGGUCGCCGAGAAGGUGCUUCACGGCGUUUUUCUCUCUUCACAAUAUGUUUUAUGCCUACAGUGGCUUGCUUUCGGUUGCUGACAACAAAGGCAAGAACGCCCCUUUUCUUACAUAGAUGUUCAGCGUGUUCAUUCUGCACAACAAC